rnacentral:rRNA from 1 species
GAUGAACGCUAGCGGGAGGCCUAACACAUGCAAGCCGAGCGGUAUUCUGGAUUUAUUCAGGAGAGAGCGGCGUACGGGUGCGUAACACGUGUGCAACCUACCUUUAUCAGGGGAAUAGCCUUUCGAAAGGAAGAUUAAUACUCCAUAAUAUAUUAAAUGGCAUCAUUUGAUAUUGAAAACUCCGGUGGAUAGGGAUGGGCACGCGCAAGAUUAGAUAGUUGGUGAGGUAACGGCUCACCAAGUCAAUGAUCUUUAGGGGUCCUGAGAGGGAGAUCCCCCACACUGGUACUGAGACACGGACCAGACUCCUACGGGAGGCAGCAGUGAGGAAUAUUGGACAAUGGGUGAGAGCCUGAUCCAGCCAUCCCGCGUGAAGGAUGACGGUCCUAUGGAUUGUAAACUUCUUUUGUACAGGGAUAAACCCAGAUACGUGUAUCUGGCUGAAGGUACUGUACGAUAAGCACGGCUAACCCGUGCCAGCAGCCGAC